CGUGGCGUAGCUUAACCAAAGCAUCCCGCUUACACCGAGAAAAUGUCUGUGAAAACCAGACCGCUUCGA
rnacentral:tRNA from 1 species